rnacentral:rRNA from 1 species
UAGUUAGCAAUUACACCGUGAAACUGCGAAUGGCUCAUUAUAUCAGUUAUCGUUUAUUUGAUAGUUCCUUACUACUUGGAUAACCGUGGUAAUUCUAGAGCUAAUACAUGCUGAAAACCCCGACUUCGGAAGGGGUGUAUUUAUUAGAUUAAAAACCAAUGCCCUUCGGGGCUCCCUGGUGAUUCAUGAUAACUUCUCGAAUCGCAUGGCCUUGCGCCGGCGAUGGUUCAUUCAAAUUUCUUCCCUAUCAACUUUCGAUGCUAAAGUAUUGUUCUACCAUGGUUACAACGGGUAACGGAGAAUUAGGGCUCGACCCCGGAGAAGGAGCCUGAGAAACGGCUACUACAUCCAAGGAAGGCAGCAGGCGCGCAAAUUACCCAAUCCCGACACGGGGAGGUAGUGACGAUAAAUACUGAUACAGGGCUCUUUUGGGUCUUGUAAUUGGAAUGAGUACAAUUUAAAUCUCUUAACGAGGAACAAUUGGAGGGCAAGUCUGGUGCCAGCAGCCGCGGUAAUUCCAGCUCCAAUAGCGUAUAUUAAAGUUGUUGCGGUUAAAAAGCUCGUAGUAGAAACUUGGGCCUGGCUGGCCGGUCCGCCUCACCGCGUGCACUGGUCCGGCCGGGCCUUUCCCUCUGUAGAACCGCAUGCCCUUCACUGGGUGUGCUGGGGAAACAGGACUUUUACUUUGAAAAAAUUAGAGUGCUCCAAGCAGGCCUUUGCUCGAAUACAUUAGCAUGGAAUAAUAGAAUAGGACGUGCGGUUCUAUUUUGUUGGUUUCUAGGACCGCCGUAAUGAUUAAUAGGGACAGUCGGGGGCAUCAGUAUUCAAUUGUCAGAGGUGAAAUUCUUGGAUUUAUUGAAGACUAACUACUGCGAAAGCAUUUGCCAAGGAUGUUUUCAUUAAUCAGGAACGAAAGUUAGGGGAACCAAAACGAUCAAAAACCGUCGAAGCCUAACCUAAACUAGCCGACAAGG